rfam:Pediococcus stilesii strain DSM 18001 Scaffold25, whole genome shotgun sequence.
GAGGCUCCUACACGGACAAAGGCUACUGUACAGAAACGUUGUGAAACGCCAAUGUAUAGGACAGAAAAUGUCGAUUUGAAGGCAUUUUCCCAAGUAGCUAAACUGGCAGCAGUUUUACGCCGUGUAGUGCUGAA